rnacentral:lncRNA from 1 species
GCGCUGUGGCAGUCACUGGUGCAGAGCCAGAGCGGGAGGAGGACAGUAGGACCAUUCAGUGGCCAGGUGAAGGAGGAGGAGGAGGAGGAGGAGGAGGUGAAGGAGGAGGUGGAGGAGGAGGAGGAGGUGAAGGAGGAGGAGGAGGUGGAGGAGGAGGAGGAGGAGGUGAAGGAGGAGGAGGAGGUGGAGGAGGAGGAGGAGGAGGAGGAGGAGGAGGUGAAGGAGGAGGAGGAGGUGGAGGAGGAGGAGGAGGAGGAGGUGAAGGAGGAGGAGGAGGUGGAGGAGGAGGAGGUGGAGGAGGAGGAGGAGGAGGUGAAGGAGGAGGAGGAGGAGGAGGAGGUGGAGGAGGAGGAGGUGGAGGAGGAGGUGGAGGAGGAGGAGGUGAAGGUGGAGGAGGAGGUGGAGGAGGAGGAGGUGGAGGAGGAGGAGGAGGAGGUGAAGGAGGAGGAGGAGGAGGAGGAGGUGGAGGUGGAGGAGGAGGUGGAGGAGGAGGAGGUGGAGGAGGAGGAGGAGGAGGUGAAGGAGGAGGAGGAGGAGGAGGAGGUGGAGGAGGAGGAGGAGGAGGUGGAGGAGGAGGUGGAGGAGGAGGAGGAGGAGGAGGAGGAGGAGGAGGAGGUGGAGGUGGAGGAGGAGGAGGAGGAGGAGGUGUGCCAGACACAUAUCUGUCGGAGACAGUCUGGCCUGAACAUGUUACCCAAGCGAAGGAGUCUCCAUGACUAUAAUGAGUGUUAAUGCUGAUUGAGGAUAAUAAACAGCGUGAAUGAAUGAACCAACCAACCCACCCACCUAACAAUCAUUACAUAAAUCAAUCAAUCCAUCAAUCAGUUAAACAAUCAUUAAAUGAAUCACACCACUCAUCAGCUUUUUUAACAUCUUCACAAUACACAAAAAGGCCUGUUGAAUUAGAAAAAAAGAAAGCUGAAUCAAACAGAUGUUGUAAAAUGCCAAUCAUAUGCACUGCCUUCCUGGUAAGGAUUGACUCACAUCCUAUUCUAAUACCGAACUCAAUCACUGUGCAUUCACUCACAGGGGGAACUGAGUCACUGUGUCAAAACUCUGCCGCUCCCACGGUG